GACGAACGCUGGCGGCGUGCUUAACACAUGCAAGUCGAACGGAAAGGCCCUGCUUUUGUGGGGUGCUCGAGUGGCGAACGGGUGAGUAACACGUGAGUAACCUGCCCUUGACUUUGGGAUAACUUCAGGAAACUGGGGCUAAUACCGGAUAGGAGCUCCUGCUGCAUGGUGGGGGUUGGAAAGUUUCGGCGGUUGGGGAUGGACUCGCGGCUUAUCAGCUUGUUGGUGGGGUAGUGGCUUACCAAGGCUUUGACGGGUAGCCGGCCUGAGAGGGUGACCGGCCACAUUGGGACUGCGAUACGGCCCAGACGCCAACGGGAGGCAGCAGUGGGGAAUAUUGCACAAUGGGCGGAAGCCUGAUGCAGCAACGCCGCGUGCGGGAUGACGGCCUUCGGGUUGUAAACCGCGUUCGCCUGUGACGAAGCGUGAGUGACGGUAAUGGGUAAAGAAGCACCGGCUAACUACGUG
rnacentral:rRNA from 1 species